UUAGAUGACCAUCAGCAAACA
rnacentral:miRNA from 6 species